rnacentral:sRNA from 1 species
CCUGAUCAGAGUGAUGGAUUCCAGAUCUUGCUCGGGAGGUGCGCCCGCUUCACGUCACCCCGCCAGGGCC